GGAAUCUGGAAAACAUUAUAUUGGCUGGGCUAAGCUAUGAUGUUCAGUAGGUUAGGCAUAUUAAAUACAUUUUCAUUUUACAGUAUUUUUAACUUGUAAAGGGUUUAUUGGGAUGAAACUCCACAGCAGGUUGAAGAGCAUCUGUAUAAAGAUCUACAAAUGAAUAAGGAAAAGAUAAAAACCAUAGUGGAAAAAUGGGGAAAGGAUAUAAGCAGAUUCUUCAUGGUAAAAGGAAAUAAAUAAAAUUCAGAGAGGUGAGGGGGAAAAAGAAAAAAAAGGAAAUAAAAAUGAUCACUCAGUAAGAAAAGAUAAGCAAACUCAUAAGCAAUGAGACAAAUUCCCAUUGAAGAGAGAGGUUUUAGCAAAGUGUUAGUACAACAAGUGCCUAUGCUGGGGGUGGGCACAGGCUUUUUGGAGGGUGACUUAGCCCCUGCCCCCCAGCUCAGCAAUUCUACUUCCCAGCGCCUCCCCGUAGAGAGCCUGGCAGAGACCUGCACUGUGGCGGCCACUGCAGUGAGCUGUAACAGCACCGCUGAAAACAGCCUGGAUGUCCAGCAAUAGGGGAUGAGGUAAACCCUGUGGGUUUCCCAUAUAUGCACAGCCUAGUGGCAAUUACAAGGACUGAGGAGGGAAAUGUUUGGCUUUGGGAUGCUGUGUGUCUAUGGAGACAGACUACUCCCCACUGUGCCCUGCAGCAGAGCAGGCUCUCUGGGAGGCACCCUAGCUGUGGAUUCAGGAAGAUGGGGCUGGCUAGAUGUUUCCUGCCCUGCUUGGAGGUUGGCUUCCCCCAUCUCCCACCUGCCCCCAUCCCAACCCAAACCUAACUGCAGUGGUUGGGGAUAAAGGAGAAAAUAAGUCUGGGUGUGAUAGCUCAUGCCUGAAAAUCUAAAACUCUGGGAAGCACAAGCAGGAGGAUAGCUUGAGCCCAGGAGUUCAAGACCAGUGUGGACAACAUAGUGAGACCUCGUCUCUUGAAAAAAAUCAAAACAGGCUGGGUGCGGUGGCUGACGCCUGUAAUCCCAGCACUUUGGGAGGUCAAGGUGGGAGGAUUGCCUGAGCCCAGAAGUAUGCUGGGAUUACAAGUGUGAGCCACCAUGACCAGCCCUGUAUUAUGGUUUUUUUUUUUUUUUUUUUUUUUUUUGAGACGGAGUCUCACUCUGUCGCCCAGGCUGAAGUGCAGUGGCACGAUCUCAGCUUAUCGCAACCUCCGCCUCCCGAGUUCAAGCAAUUCUCCUGCCUCAGCUUCCCGAGUAGCUGGGAUUACAGGCAUCCGCCACCACACCCAGCUAAUUUUUGUAUUUUUAGUUAGAGACAAGGUUCCACCAUGUUGGCCAGGCUGGUCUCGAACUCCUGACCUCAGGUGAUCCACCUGCCUCAGCCUCCCAAACUGCUGGGUGUAUUAUGUUUUUAAAGUAAAAAUGCAUUCAUGUAUUUCUUAUAUAAUAAGCCACUAAAUAAUUUUAAAAGUUUUUUUUUGGCCAGGUGCGGUGGCUCACACCUGUAAUCCCAGCACUUUGGGAGGCUGAGGUGGGCAGAUCACCUGAGGUUAGGAAUUCAAGACCAGCCCGGCUCAGCCUUCCAAGGAGCUGGGAUUACAGGCACAUGCCACCACGCCUGGCUAAUUUGUAUUUUUAGUAGAGACAGGGUUUCACCAUGUUGGCCAGGCUGGUCUAGAACUCCUGAUUCAGAUGAUCCGCCCACUUUGGCCUCCCAAAGUGCUGGGAUUACAGGCAUGAGCCACCAAGCCCAGCCAAAAUGUUUAAAUUAGUAAAGAAAGAAAAUUCUGGAAUUUUUUGUAGAGGUGGGGUCUCACUAAGUUGCCCAGGCUGGUCUCAAACCCCUAGGCUCAAGCAAUCCACCCAAAGUGCUGGGAUUACAGGCAGGAGACACUACACCCAGCCUAAAAAUUUUUUUUGAAAGCUUAAAACAAGGAAGGAAAAGGGAAAACGGAAGCUAAGGAGACCAGUGAAGAAGCUGUUGGCAAAGGGUGGUAAGACCUGAGCCGGCGUGUCCCCAUCUGUGAAAUGGGUACACCGAUCCCUAUGGUCACUGAAGCUGUUGAGAGGACCCCUGCGCUAAUGAGAGUGAACUCUGCAGUCUGUGAGGUUGGUGCCCCAGAUACUUAGCUGGAGGACAGGACUCUGCCCAAGUCCCUUGUAUGGGCCUACCUAUGGGGCCACCCUCCUCGCUAUGCCUGAUCCUCACAGGUUUCAGCACACUGGCCCCAGGUCACAGGGGCCGACCUGGGACAUAGAGAAAGAUCCAGCCAUGGGGCUACCUCCCAGAGCAGACACCAGCCCUUGACGGGCCCAGCAGCCAUGUUGGGUCUCCAUGCAAUUUAGUCUUAUGAGCCACAGCUCAGCUUAGACUCAGGCUCCAGGAAUAGGUCCCCAAGACACUCUCAUUCCCCAGUGGUUCCCAGCAGUAUUGGGACAACCAAAAUCAGCCUCAAACUGCUCAGGCCUUCCCCAGGGAUAUGACACUUAGCAGCUCCUGGGGCUGCCCAGGCUGAGAACUACCUAUCCCCAGCCCCAGGUAGAGAGCCCCAAGUCUGGCUGUAAGAACAAGGUGAAGCCAAAGACUCAAAAGCAGGUCCUUGCCUCCCGUGACUGCAGGCACAGCCCAGUGAGGGGCAGCAGGGCUGCCAAUGGUCCCCUGAAUUGGCACCCACUUCCUGGGUUUAGCACCACUGUGGCCUCAAGAGGCCCUAAAGGAGGGUUGUCAUGGCAUGCACCAUGGGUUCCUCACAUAGUUCCUCUGGCCCAGGGGAACACGUGUCCUAGAGGCAGCUGCUCCUGGCGUCACUGUUGGUAGGUCCAGAUGAAGGACAGGCCUCUGCCUGGGAGUGUCAGGAUGCAGAGAGGCUGCCUCAUUCCUGCUGCGGCAGCCAGGGUCCCCACACACUCACACUCAUGUCAGCGAGGUCACAGGAGGUCGUCUCUACAUGAGGCUGUGAUAAGGCUGCGUGGGAGCCUGCAUGCAGGCUCAGCAUCAUCCUGCCCGGGCGGGAACCCUGGUCCACCCUUGCUGUAGGACUUCAGUCAAAUGACAGCCUCUCUUGACCCUCAGUUUCCCCAACUGCAAAAGUAGCACCCGACAACAUGCACUGACCCCCCAGGGCUGCUGGGCGUGCUUGGCUGAUGGUUCACUCUCAGAAGUAUCUGUCCCUACCCACCUCGUAGGUGCGGUCAGGUGAGUUCUUCUCUGCCUCUGUUUCCACACUGCACCUGGAAGAAGCUGGAGGACCUGCUCUCCUAAUUGCUCCUCUACCACUGAUGUUGUAAGAAGGGGACACUGACUUGUCACUCUCUGCCAAUGUAGGAGCCAGGCACUGUCUCUGUUGGCUCAGGGCUGGGCUCCCAGGAAGUAAAAGCCUAAAGGCUCAGGGAGGCCAUUUAAGGUCUAGGGUCCAGUGGACUUUCGGACGCAUCGCAGCCUCCGCUGAGCCCUUCUAGCAGGCUUGUGGUGACUGCACCCUGGGGCGGCUGCUCCAUUGUUUCCUGUCAGUCCCGCUCAUCUGCUCAACAACCCUUUGGAGGAAACACACAGGAGGGUCCUGCCCUCUAGUGGCUGCCGGCGGCCAGGUCUCUCCUCACAGGGCUCCGCCCGCGACCUCAGAGGAGCCCACCGCCCUCUCUGCCUGCUCUAGUGCCUGCCGCACAGCAACAAGCAGGCAUUUCCUGGGGGUGAAGCCGAGGCUGGCCCCAUGAGCUGACACCCAGCAAUCUUCAUCUCCGAGCACCUUUGAGUCCUGGGGGGCCCUGCUUCCAGAUGUGAGCCCCCAGCCCGUGGGGCUGGGUGGUCCUGGGCUGUGCCACAGGGUUUCAGCCCACCGCGAAGGAGGCCUGACGGUGUCCAGGUCGAGGGCACCUGUGGGCAAUGAUUGACAUAACACUGCAGAGAGAGAGCCUGGUGGGGCACCGGCCUCUGCCCAGGCUGGGUUCCGGGGCCUUCCCCCAUGUGCCCACAUCCCAUGCUUCCCCCGUUACAGCCUCUGCCGUCAGACUGCGCACCAGCAUCUGUGGCCGCGCUUCCCAAGAAGAAUGGAAAAGUCAACUGGUGAAGAAUCGACUGCGCUGGAACAAGGGCUAACUGCUGCUAAUUCAUCUGAAGGAUAAUUGAGAAGUAUUUAUAAGUCUUCCUUCAUUAGGCCCCUAAAGGAGGCUGAACUACAUUAAGAGCCCAUCUUCCCAAUUGUGCUCUGAUACACCCAGACAGUUCUGGUUAAAAAUGAGUAACACUAAAUAAUGGGACUGAUUAUGCCAAGGUAAUUGGGGACUGACUGAUAAUGCAAAUCAGUAAGUCUUCCCUCUCCUCAAAUUCUUCAAGUAAAACACCUUUUCUGCCACCUUGAAAGCUAGUUAGCAAAUGAAAUAUUUACAACAUUAAGGACCAAUUCACUCAGGUAAGUAAAUAAUAGUGAAGCAAAUAAUUUUUCGUCUGCAUCUGAUUGUCUCAGAAGUCUCAUUUCCAAAUUAAAUACACAAGUCUCAGUUACUUCCUGGACACUCAUGGAAUAUUCAGUAAAUAAAUUUUAGAGUAGUGAUCUUGUUCAGUUGCUUUUUUUUCUUUUUUACUUAUUUUUUUGGAAACAGAGUCUCGCUCUGUCACCCAGGCUGGAGUGCAGUGGCGCGAUCUUGGCUCACUGCAACCUCUGCCUCCCGGGUUCAAGUGACUCUCCUGCCUCAGCCUCCUGAGUAGCUGGAAUUACAGGCAUCUGCCACCAUGCCCGGCUAAUUUUUGCAUUUUUAGUAGUGACGGGGUUUCACCAUGUUGGCCAGACUGGUCUCAAACUCCUGACCUCAGGCGAUCCACCUGCCUCGGCCUCCCAAAGUGCUGGGAUUACAGGCGGGAGCCACCGCGCCCGGCUUUCAGUUGCUUUUUCUAGUCCAUUGUGUUUCAUUGUCUUUGAGAAAUUUCUAGGGGACCCCUGAUACUUGAGCCUUAGCUCAUCUUCUUUCCAAAUCUGGUCCUUUCUGACAGGCUCCACAGGCCUCCCGGCUUCCAGUGUGCCUUCCAGAACUCUUCCUUAGGGCCACUGAGAACCUUGUGCAAGCAGCUUCAUGAGUCCGUGGGUCAGCUCCCAAAGGUGCUCAGGAUCGAGCUGCUGGUGGAAGCUCUCCUCACUAGCAAGCCCCCUGCACACCCGUCUCACUUGCCAUCGGUGCCUGGCCCCCAUAAACUGCAGGAGUGUGUAAAUAUGUGAAGGAGGCCAGGCGCGGUGGCUCACGCCUGUAAUCCCAGCACUUUGGGAGGCGGAGGCAGGCAGAUCACUUGCGGUCAGGAGUUCCAGACCAGCCUGGCCAACAUGGUGAAACCCCCUCCCUACUAAAAAUACAAAAAUUAGCCAGGUGUGGUGGUGCAUGCCUGCAGUCCCAGCUACUGGGAGGCUGAGGCACGAGAAUUGCUUGCACCUGGGAGGCAGAAGUUGCUGUGAGCCAAGAUCGUGCCACUGCACUCCAGCCCGGGCAACAGAACGAGACUCUCUCAAAAAAUAAAUAAAAUAUGUGAAGGAUAUCCCCUGUUCGGAUUCUCUCUCUUCUUUAGUCCCCACCCCGUUUUCAGCCAUGGCUCUUCUAAGACUAGGCCAGGGAUCAUGCUGCCCCUGAUUUCCCACUGUGAACUGAACUCCAUCCAUCCCAGAGGCCACACAGCAACACUCACAGCUCCCACCGUCCGGGCCUGCCCAGCCUCUCACCUGAGCCCCUCCUCCUCCAGGUUCUGGAUGCUCCCAGCUCCUGCCUGUCUCUUCCUCAACAUCAAAAGCUGCUCAGGAAAUAAUUUUUUUUUUUUUUGGAGUGGGGGGACAGGGUCUUGCUCUGUCAUCCAGGUUGGAGCGCGAACAUGCUCAUUGCAGCCUUGAAAUCCUGGGCUCAAGCAAUCCUUUGCACCUCAGCCUCCCGUAUAGGAACUACAGGUGCGUGCCACCACGCCCAGCUAGUUUUUAAAUUUUUUUGUAGAGAUGGGGUCUCCCUGUGUUGCCCAGGUUGGUCUCAAAAUCCCGGGCUCAAGCAAUCCUCCUGCUUCAGCCUCCGAAAGUGUUGAGAUUAUAGGCGCAAGCCACAACGCCUGGCCCGGCAAAGAAUUCUUUUUUCUUUUUUCCUCUCACUAGAGAACAAAAAGGAAAUAAAUCUUGAUGGGGUUAUUUUACAUCUUAGUGUGAAUGAGUCACCGAGUUCUCUGCGGAAUCUGAAUUUCCAGUAUCCUCUCUAAUUCUGGAAAUAACAGUCUUUGAACUAGGUGAAAGGAAAUUCUGGAAAUAACAGUCUUUGAACUAGGUGAAAGGAAAUUCUAUCACCUGAUGGAGGAGGAUAUUAGAGUGAAGGGGCUGUCCUAGACCCCCUGAAAUCACACACUUGCCCUGCUCUGUGCUGAAACUAGUCCUGACUUCUCAAGGAAUGGCCGUUUAAUAAACAAACAAAACAAGGACCAGGCCAGAUGGAGAAGACAGGAGAGAAGUCCCGCAAACAACGGGAAAUACAGCUUAAGGGGGGAUGGGGAGAGGAGCAAAGGAGACACCACAGGCCUUUCAGUCCCAGACACAGGAGGUGCCAGGAUACCAUCCCUCUUCCAAAGUCAAGAAGCCCAGUCCCAGCUACAACAUCAACAGAGAGAGAAACGUUCCAGCUGAGGAACACCAAAGGUUCACAUCCUCAAGUUACUUACCUACCCUCCUUAUGAAAUUAAAGAAUUUUUGUCCCUUUUGGAGGGAGAAGGGGUAUGAAAGAAGAAAGGUCUUUUCAAAAGUGUGAAGAAAAUAUUUUAUUUCUUAUUAAACCAGGGGACUGAUGUGAAACUAGC
rnacentral:lncRNA from 1 species